rnacentral:rRNA from 1 species
AGUGAACGCUGGCGGUAGGCCUAACACAUGCAAGUCGAACGGAAGCACAGUAAGAGUUCGCCCCUAAGGGUGGCGAGUGGCGGACGGGUGAGGAAUAGAUAAGAAUCCAAUUUUACGUGGGGGAUAACGUGGGGAAACAUACGAUAAUAGCGGAUAUGAUCAACGGGAGGAAGCAGAGGAUAAUCGGAGUCUGCGUGACAGAUAGAGACGAAGCCGGGUUGGAUUAGCUAGUUGGUAAGGUAACGGCCUACCAAGGCAACGAUGCAUAGCUGAUCUGAGAGGGUGAUCAGCCACACUGGAACUGAGACACGGUCCAGACUCCUACGGGAGGCAGCAGUGGGGAAUAUUGGGCAAUGGGCGAAAGCCUGAUCGAGCCACACCGCGUGAGUGAUGAAGGCCUUCGGAUUGUAAAGCCCUGUUGUUAGGAAAGAAAAUCUGCGUAUUUAUAUCUCGCUAUUUUGACGGUACCCAAACAGUAAGCACCGGCUAACUUCGUG